GACGAACGCUGGCGGCGUGCUUAACACAUGCCAGUCGAACGGAAAGGCCCUGCUUGCCGGGUACUCGAGUGGCGAACGGGUGAGUAACACGUGGGUGAUCUGCCCUGCACUUCGGGAUAAGCCUGGGAAACUGGGUCUAAUACCGGAUAGGAGCCAUUUUGAGUGGGAUGGUUGGAAAGUUUUUUCGGUGUAGGAUGAGCUCGCGGCCUAUCAGCUUGUUGGUGGGGUAAUGGCCUACCAAGGCGGCGACGGGUAGCCGGCCUGAGAGGGUGGACGGCCACAUUGGGACUGAGGUACGGCCCAGACUCCUACGGGGGGCAGCAGUGGGGAAUAUUGCACAAUGGGCGCGAGCCUGAUGCAGCGACGCCGCGUGGCGGAUGACGGCCUUCGGGUUGUAAACUCCUUUCGCUAGGGACGAAGCUUUUUGUGACGGUACCUAGAUAAGAAGCACCGGCUAACUACGUG
rnacentral:rRNA from 1 species